GACAGAGGCCUCAAGCGUUAGGCGGAAUCACUGGGCUUAAAGCGUGUGUAGGCGGAUCGUUAAGUGUCUUGUGAAAUCCCACGGCUCACCCGUGGAACUGCUGGGCAUACUGGCGAUCUUGGGCCAACUAGGGGCAACUGGAACAAGCGGUGGAGCGGUGAAAUGCGUAGAUAUCUGGAGGAACACCGGUGGCGAAGGCGGCAUCCUGGACCAAUACUGACGCUGAGGAGCGAAAGCCAGGGGAGCAAACGGG
rnacentral:rRNA from 1 species